rnacentral:rRNA from 1 species
CGAAAGCCUGACGGAGCAAUACCGCGUGAGGGAGGAAGGCUUUUGGGUUGUAAACCUCUUUUUUCAAGGAAGAACAAAAUGACGGUGCUUGAGGAAUAAGCCACGGCUAAUUCCGUGCCAGCAGCCGCGGUAAUACGGGAGUGGCAAGCGUUAUCCGGAAUUAUUGGGCGUAAAGCGUCCGCAGGCGGCCGAUCAAGUCUGCUGUUAAAGACAGAAGCUCAACUUCUGAAAGGCAGUGGAAACUGGAGAGCUAGAGUACGGUAGGGGUUGAGGGAAUUCCCAGUGUAGCGGUGAAAUGCGUAGAUAUUGGGAAGAACACCAGUGGCGAAGGCGCUCAACUGGGCCGUAACUGACACUCAGGGACGAAAGCUAGGGGAGCG